UAUCUUUCAUUGUGAUAGGACAAGGGGAAAUGGUUUCAAACUAAAAGCAGGGAGAUUUAGAUUGGAUUUACAUAAGAAUUUUUUUACAAUAAGGGUAGUGAGACACUGGAGCAGGUUGCUCAGCGAGGUGGUGGAUGCCCCGUCCCUGGAGACAUCCAAGGUCAGGCUGGAGGGGCUCUGAGCACAUUGAUCGAGCUGUGUCUCUGUUCACUGCAGGGAAAAUGGCCUAGAUGACUUUUAAGGGUCCCUUCCAUCUUAAACAAUUCUAUGAUUCUAAGUCACUAAAUGUGCUGGACUAAGGGCAAGCCUGGAGGAAGAGAUCCAUCCUGAAAAGAUGCUGCAAGAAGGAUCCCCAGGAGGACUGCUGCCACCAGGCCAGACUGGUGCUAGAGAAAGUCUUUCAGGGUGCAGUCUCACAAACAGCAUUGUUUCCUUGAGACCCCAGAGUGGCAGUAGGAGGACGGGUGAGUAAAAGAAUGGUAGAUUGGGCUGUAUGUUAAGAAAUGUAGCUUUUACCCUAUUUCAUGUUUCAAUACACACAAACGAAAUCCAAAGACAUUUUACUUAGACUUUGUCCUUCUUCAAAUGUUAACCUCUGCUUGCCGCAUCAGACCCACACACAGCCUCAUCUCCCACCACAUUUUUUGCUGCCUUAGUUUUAUCUUCCUAUCACAUUCCGUCCCAUAGCUAAUCUUGCUCUCCCUUUCCCAGCAUCUUGGCUAGGGUUGAGGGUUACGAGCAGACAUGUUUUUGAAAUAAGUGAUGAUUAUUUCAUUUGAUUUGAUAUUGCUGCUACUACUCGUAGGGUUUUUAUUAGCAAUAUUGUUUCUGUAAAAAUACAUAGUGGCAGGCUAAGAUUAAAGGGUCUCCUUCAAACAAGAUAUAAAAUGUGAUAAAAUGUACAUUUUCCCCAAUGGUUUCUAUAGCAACAGUCUUCUCUCUGCAUUCAGAAAGAUCAAAGAAUUUGCAGGGGGGAGAUGAGUAGCACUGAGCUGUCCUAGAUCCUUCACUCCUUCACCUCUGAGUCCUCACAGGAAGUUCUCCUCCCUUCAGUUUCUGUGAUGUGGAGAAACAAAGACCACCAGCCAGACCUACAUUGCCAACCACUCAGUACGUCUGGUAAAGCUGUGGGAUAUUCUAUAACAGAUAAGAAAGUAAUUUCCAUGAUAUUAUUGUAAACCAAAGCAUUGCUUGUGGCACAGUACCUACCUUGGGGAAUCACAGAAUCAUAGAAUCACUGAGGUUGGAAAAGACCACUAAGAACAUCUAGUCCAGCCAUCAAACCAUCACCACCAUGCCCAGUAAACCAUGUUACUCAGUGCCAUAUCUACCCUUUUCUUGAAAAUCUCCAGUGACAGUGACUCCACCACCUUCUUGGACAGCCUGUUCCAAUAAAUACACAUCACUUCUAUAAACCCA
rnacentral:lncRNA from 1 species